UGUGCUCCCUUUGGCACACUACACUAAAAUUGGAAGAUGCGGAGAAUAUUAGCACAGCCCCUGAAGAAGGAUGACAUGCAAAUGUGUGGAGGAGUUCAUAUUUAA
ensembl:snRNA U6 U6 spliceosomal RNA